rnacentral:rRNA from 1 species
GAUGAACGCUAGCGGCAGGCUUAAUACAUGCAAGUCGUGGGGCAGCAGGGGUAGCAAUACCCGCUGGCGACCGGCAAACGGGUGCGGAACACGUACGCAACCUUCCUUUAACUGGAGAAUAGCCCCUCGAAAGAGGGAUUAAUACUCCGUAACAUAUUGAUAAGGCAUCUUAUUAAUAUUAUAGCUCCGGCGGUUAAGGAUGGGCGUGCGCCUGAUUAGAUAGUUGGCGGGGUAACGGCCCACCAAGUCUGCGAUCAGUAACUGGUGUGAGAGCACGACCAGUCACACGGGCACUGAGACACGGGCCCGACUCCUACGGGAGGCAGCAGUAAGGAAUAUUGGUCAAAUGGACGCAAGUCUGAACCAGCCAUGCCGCGUGAAGGAUGAAGGCCCUCU